rnacentral:tRNA from 1 species
GGGGUUGUGGCUCAUUGGUAGAGCACUUGCCUUGCAAGUGUGAGGCACUGGGUUCAAUCCUCAGCGCCA